rnacentral:rRNA from 1 species
CCUACGGAGGCAGCAGUGGGGAAUAUUGGACAAUGGGCGAAAGCCUGAUCCAGCCAUGCCGCGUGUGUGAAGAAGGCCUUCGGGUUGUAAAGCACUUUCAGUGGGGAAGAAAGCCUUGGGGCUAAUACCCUCGAGGAAGGACAUCACCCACAGAAGAAGCACCGGCUAACUCCGUGCCAGCAGCCGCGGUAAUACGGAGGGUGCGAGCGUUAAUCGGAAUUACUGGGCGUAAAGCGCGCGUAGGCGGUCUGAUAAGCCGGUUGUGAAAGCCCCGGGCUCAACCUGGGAACGGCAUCCGGAACUGUCAGGCUAGAGUGCAGGAGAGGAAGGUAGAAUUCCCGGUGUAGCGGUGAAAUGCGUAGAGAUCGGGAGGAAUACCAGUGGCGAAGGCGGCCUUCUGGACUGACACUGACGCUGAGGUGCGAAAGCGUGGGUAGCAAACAGGAUUAGAUCCCCCUGUAGUC